UACGGCCAUACCACCCUGAACGCACCCGAUCUCGUCUGAUCGCGGAAGCUAAGCAGGGUCGGGCCUGGUUAGUACUUGGAUGGGAGGAGCCACACUUAGAUCUGAGAAUGCUAGUCAGCUAGUAC
rnacentral:rRNA from 1 species